GAUCAUGGCUCAGGAUGAACGCUAGCUACAGGCUUAACACAUGCAAGUCGAGGGGCAGCAUGGUCUUAGCUUGCCAAGGCCGAUGGCGACCGGCGCACGGGUGAGUAACGCGUAUCCAACCUGCCUUACACUCUUGGACAGCCUUCUGAAAGGGAGAUUAAUACAAGAUGUUAUCAUGAGUAAGCAUUUUCGCAUGAUUAAAGGUUUGCCGGUGUAAGAUGGGGAUGCG
rnacentral:rRNA from 1 species